rnacentral:lncRNA from 1 species
CAAAUUUGUAAUGUGAGGAGUUGGGGGAGGAGGGCAGAACCUCCUCCUUUUCUAUUUUAUUAGCUUUUCCUGUGUCUGGAGACUUCCUGCAAGGACGGGCAGAAUGUUCCUUUUAGUUCAACUCAUGGGAGGUUUGCACCCGGGUACCUGCCACUGAUCAUUGUGCACCUUGUGCCCUUCCAAAAAAGAAGCACUGCCUUUCUUUGUUAAGCUCUCAGAGACCUUGUUGGGCAGCAGAGCCUGGGGCCCGCCUAAUCUGGGUCUCUCCAGCCCUCCUGUCUACACCCUGUGGGACCUGCUUCUCCUUCCUCUCUGAGUAGUAGAUGCUGAGCAGCAGAUCCUGUCCAGACCUGUGGGAAAGUGCACAGAGCCCCAGCCAUGCACCCUGGGCCUUUCCCACUCGCUGGGGAAAGAACUCCCAGCAGGAAGGCUUCAUUAGCCUGAAAGAACUUCACUUUAACUCUUUGGCUCCUCUAGCAGUCAGUCCUCAGGGUAAGUAUUCACAUUUCAAAGGCAGAAGUUCUUUCUUGAGCCUUCAUUGCUUGGCUCCCACAGUGAAUUUUUUCCUGUACUUCCUUUACCCACACAAGGGUUAAUCAUUCAGCAUUUCUGCCCUUAGAAAAUUCAGAGUUUUUAGUACAGGGAUCUGGCAUUAAUGGUUAGCACUUUGAAUAAUGCCAUUAAACAUCUUGUAUGCAAAUAGCAAAUUAGGAAGUGCAAAGGUCACAUUGUGUUCGAAUCUGAAUCCUUUAUAAAAUGUAAUUUGUUUAGGGUUUUCCAUUCUUCAAAGACUUCAUUUGUCAAAUUUUAUGGUAACUUACUAGUUAUGAAGAAAUGGCUACCAUCUUCCCAUUAGAAAAGGGCUCUUUCUCUCCUUACCCCCUGCCCUUUUCAUAAAUGCAGAAAAAUCACAAUAAUGACAUGCAAUUAUAGUAAACAUUUAGCAGUCUCCUGCUUUCCCAGGUUUAUCUUAUCAUCUGAACAUGUGGUGAGCCCAAAUAGGUUAAAUGUCUUUUCCCUAAGGUGCAAUAUUUCUACACUUUUUAAUGCAAUUUAAAUUUUAGUUUUAAAGUCUUACAGUGACAUUUGAACAUACUGAAAGUUAAACCUGUUAUGAACAUAAUUGCAAGAGUUAGCGGAAAUUGAACAAAUGAAAUAUAAAGACUUCCACUUCCUGUAUAUGAAUUUUUAGCCUUUUCCCAAACUUUCUCUAUUGUAAACUUAAAACAAAGUCUUAUCAGCGAGGAACAUAGAGUAGCAGCUGGAUAUCAUUAAAUCCCCCUGUCUAAGCGAUUCUUCUUCAUUACCUUUUCCCUGACAGCUCUUGCUCUGCACAGAAAAUGUAACUUUGUAGAGAUUUAUGUAAUUCAGGUGUCCUCCAUUUGAAGGAGGGCUUGGCUUAGAAGAA